rnacentral:lncRNA from 1 species
UAGGAAGAAAGUGUUGCUGAAGGUCAUCAUCCUGGGAGACUCUGGUGUUGGAAAGACAUCGCUCAUGAACCAGUAUGUGAAUAAGAAGUUCAGUAACCAGUACAAAGCCACAAUAGGAGCAGACUUUCUGACCAAGGAGGUGAUGGUGGAUGACAGACUUGUUACCAUGCAGCACUGCGGCGAUCAGGUGAAGCGCAGGAGCUGCACAGACCUGCACUGUCAGUGCACCCAGCACGGGGUUGAGAACUGAGGUUUCGCCACACUCACUGCUGCAGUGCAUCCCCACAGCCAGCGUCUGAUGAGCCACACUGGAGACCCAUGGCACAGAAGGAUCCAGGAGAAAGCGGGAGGAGGUGGCAGCUUCUGAAUGAUGGGGCAGAGUCUUGAGUGAGCCCUACAUAUGUCUCAAGAGUUUUAGCGGCUUGUAGUAAAAGAUAAGAAAAGAAAGACAUCACAGAU